rnacentral:rRNA from 1 species
UGAUCCAGCCAUUCCGCGUGCAGGACGAAGGCNCUUCGGGUUGUAAACUGCUUUUGUACAGAACGAAAAGGUUUCUAUUAAUACUAGGGGCUCAUGACGGUACUGUAAGAAUAAGCACCGGCUAACUACGUGCCAGCAGCCGCGGUAAUACGUAGGGUGCAAGCGUUAAUCGGAAUUACUGGGCGUAAAGCGUGCGCAGGCGGUUAUAUAAGACAGAUGUGAAAUCCCCGGGCUUAACCUGGGAAUGGCAUCUGUGACUGUAUAGCUAGAGUGUGUCAGAGGGGGGUAGAAUUCCACGUGUAGCAGUGAAAUGCGUAGAGAUGUGGAGGAAUACCAAUGGCGAAGGCAGCCCCCUGGGAUAACACUGACGCUCAUGCACGAAAGCGUGGGGAGCAAACAGGAUUAGAUACCCUGGUAGUCCACGCCCUAAACGAUGCUGACUAGUUGUUCGGGAAUUACUUCCUGAGUAACGUAGCUAACGCGUGAAGUCAGCCGCCUGGGGAGUAC